rnacentral:rRNA from 1 species
AACGAACGCUGGCGGCAUGCCUAACACAUGCAAGUCGAACGGGUGUAGCGAUACAUCAGUGGCGCACGGGAUAGUAACGCGUGGGAAUCUGCCUCGUAGUUCGGAAUAACACCGGGAAACUGGUGCUAAUACCGAAUACGCCCUUCGGGGGAAAGUUUUUCGCUAUGAGAGGAGCCCGCGUUGGAUUAGCUAGUUGGUGAGGUAACGGCUCACCAAGGCGACGAUCCAUAGCUGGUCUGAGAGGACGAUCAGCAUCACUGGGACUGAGACACGGCCCAGACUCCUACGGGAGGCAGCAGUGGGGAGUAUUGGACAAUGGGGGAAACCCUGAUCCAGCAAUGCCGCGUGAGUGAUGAAGGUCUUCGGAUUGUAAAGCUCUUUUGGCAGGGACGAUGAUGACGGUACCUGCAGAAUAAGCUCCGGCUAACUUCGUGCCAGCCGCCGCCGUAACAC